AGCACAGCGCAUCAUUUGCUUGUGGCUGAACUUUUGGAAGAUGCUCAUGUACAUCUGUCUCUUCACAGCCAUGAGUGAAAUGGAAAAACCCUUCUGGGCUGCUCUGCCUGCAGAGAUGCUGUGAAAGCUCUGUGAGUCACUUGGGGAAGCCCAGGGUGCAGCCAGGCUCCAGAGAAAGUCCAGAUGCACUUCAUCCCAUCCCUGAGAGUCACUGGAACACAGUUUGGUGUGGGGAUGGUUUCCAUGGACAUUCUGUCUUGGGGCAAUGCAGCCAGAGACAACAUGGUGAAGGGGACAUCAGGCUCAGCCAUUACCUCAGGGUCCCCAGAGUGCCUGCUCCCACCAGGGCUCCUACACACUGCAGGCUCCUGCACUUGUGCUGUGCCACCACAGCCCUGCACACUGCUGCCCUGCCAGACCUCAGCUGGACCCUCUCCCCUGAAAUUCAGGGGUGCUUUCAACCAGAAACAAGGUGAGGGUGGCUGGGCAGCUCUCUGAGUCACCUGUUUAGCUUUCUCAAGUUCCUCAAGUGUGCUGCAGUUAUUUUUGGUGGGGUUGGAUGCUGGCCAGGUGGUUGGGACCUGCUGACAUUUAUGAUUUUUCUUUUUCUGCAUAACAAAAGUUUUGCUAAAUGAGAAGGAAACAAACUCAGUCCCAGGUUUCACCACGUGUUUAAAACAAGAUAAAAGCAAUUCUGGGCUGGCUGUGGUAUCCUCUAGAGCUGUGGAGG
rnacentral:lncRNA from 1 species